rnacentral:rRNA from 1 species
CCUACGGGGGGCUGCAGUGGGGAAUAUUGGACAAUGGGCGAAAGCCUGAUCCAGCCAUGCCGCGUGUGUGAAGAAGGCCUUCGGGUUGUAAAGCACUUUCAGUGGGGAAGAAAGCCUUGGGGCUAAUACCCUCGAGGAAGGACAUCACCCACAGAAGAAGCACCGGCUAACUCCGUGCCAGCAGCCACGGUAAUACGGAGGGUGCGAGCGUUAAUCGGAAUUACUGGGCGUAAAGCGCGCGUAGGCGGUCUGAUAAGCCGGUUGUGAAAGCCCCGGGCUCAACCUGGGAACGGCAUCCGGAACUGUCAGGCUAGAGUGCAGGAGAGGAAGGUAGAAUUCCCGGUGUAGCGGUGAAAUGCGUAGAGAUCGGGAGGAAUACCAGUGGCGAAGGCGGCCUUCUGGACUGACACUGACGCUGAGGUGCGAAAGCGUGGGUAGCAAACAGGAUUAGAUACCCCAGUAGUC